CCUUAGGCUUCUCUGCCUUUGCAGCCUGAGCAAUUUGGGGUCUAUACCUGCCUGGAUCCCAAGUAAAGCUGCAGUGGAAGGGAUAAGACUGAAGGAGACCCCACCCAAA